rnacentral:rRNA from 1 species
CAAGCGGAUCUCUUAAAGCCGUUCUCAGUUCGGACUGUAGGCUGCAACUCGCCUACACGAAGCUGGAAUCGCUAGUAAUCGCGGAUCAGCACGCCGCGGUGAAUACGUUCCCGGGCCUUGUACACACCGCCCGUCACACCAUGAGAGUCUGUAACACCCAAAGCCGGUGGGAUAACCUUUAUAGGAGUCAGCCGUCUAAGGUAGGACAGAUGAUUAGGGUGAAGUCGUAACAAGGUACC